rnacentral:rRNA from 1 species
GAUGAACGCUGGCGGCGUGCCUAAUACAUGCAAGUCGAGCGAACAGACGAGGAGCUUGCUCCUCUGACGUUAGCGGCGGACGGGUGAGUAACACGUGGAUAACCUACCUAUAAGACUGGGAUAACUUCGGGAAACCGGAGCUAAUACCGGAUAAUAUAUUGAACCGCAUGGUUCAAUAGUGAAAGACGGUUUUGCUGUCACUUAUAGAUGGAUCCGCACCACGUUAGCUAGUUGGUAAGGUAACGGCUUACCAAGGCAACGAUGCGUAGACGACCUGAGAGGGUGAUCGGCCACACUGGAACUGAGCCACGGUCCAGACUCCUACGGGAGGCAGCAGUAGGGAAUCUUCUGCAAUGGGCGAAAGCCUGACACAGCAACGCCGCGUGAGUGAUGAAGGUCUUCGGAUCGUAAAACUCUGUUAUUAGGGAAGAACAAAUGUGUAAGUACCUAUGCACGUCUUGACGGUACCUAAUCAGAAAGCCACGGCUAACUACGUG